CCUACGGGAGGCAGCAGUGAGGAAUAUUGGUCAAUGGACGCAAGUCUGAACCAGCCAUGCCGCGUGCAGGAAGACGGCUCUAUGAGUUGUAAACUGCUUUUGUACGAGGGUAAACGCAGAUACGCGUAUCUGUCUGAAAGUAUCGUACGAAUAAGGAUCGGCUAACUCCGUGCCAGCAGCCGCGGUAAUACGGAGGAUUCAAGCGUUAUCCGGAUUUAUUGGGUUUAAAGGGUGCGUAGGCGGUCGGAUAAGUUAGAGGUGAAAUCCCGAGGCUCAACUUCGGAAUUGCCUCUGAUACUGUUCGGCUAGAGAGUAGUUGUGGUAGGCGGAAUGUAUGGUGUAGCGGUGAAAUGCUUAGAGAUCAUACAGAACACCGAUUGCGAAGGCAGCUUACCAAGCUACUUCUGACGUUGAGGCUCGAAAGCGUGGGGAGCGAACAGGAUUAGAUACCCUGGUAGUC
rnacentral:rRNA from 1 species